AUGGCUGUCGUCAGCUCGUGCUGUGAAGUGUCGGGUUAAGUCCCAUAACGAGCGCAACCCCUAUUUCUAGUUGCCAGCGGUUCGGCCGGGGACUCUAGAGAAACUGCCAGCGUAAGCUGUGAGGAAGGUGGGGAUGACGUCAAAUCAUCACGGCCCUUACGUCCUGGGCUACACACGUGCUACAAUGGUAAGGACAGAGAGUCGCCAACCCGCGAGGGUGAGCUAAUCUUCAAACCUUAUCUCAGUUCGGAUCGGAGUCUGCAACUCGACUCCGUGAAGUUGGAAUCGCUAGUAAUCGCAUAUCAGCCAUGAUGCGGUGAAUACGUUCCCGGGCCUUGUACACACCGCCCGUCAAGCCAUGGAAGCUGGGGGCGCCUGAAGUCGGUCACCGAAAGGAGCUGCCUAGGGCGAAACUAGUAACUGGGGCUAAGUCGUAACAAGGUAGCCGUACCGGAAGGUGCGGCUGGAUUAUCUCCUUUUUAGAGAAAUAUCGACUGGUUAUCUAACGGGCUGCUGCAUCAUUCUAUUUCCGUCUUUUACUUAGUCCUUUAGCUCAGUUGGUUAGAGCGCUACACUGAUAAUGUAGAGGUCCGCAGUUCAAAUCUGCGAAGGACUACGGCGAAGAUGGGGAAUUAGCUCAGCUGGCUAGAGCGCCUGCCUUGCACGCAGGAGGUCAUCGGUUCGACUCCGAUAUUCUCCACUAGGAAAGUUCUUUGACAUAUUGGUAGAAGAUAGAGUAAAUUAUAAGCAACAAAGGGCAGUUGGCGGAUGCCUAGGCUCUCAAUAGCGAUGAAGGACGUGAUAAGCUGCGAUAAGCCAUACUGAGAUGCAAAUAAUCGUUUAAGUAUGGAUUUCCGAAUGGGGAAACCCGG
rnacentral:sRNA from 1 species